UACGGGAGGCAGCAGUAAGGAAUAUUGCUCAAUGGGGGAAACCCCGAAGCAGCAACGCCGCGUGAAGGAUGAAGGGCUUUUGCUUGUAAACUUUUGUAGAGAGGGAAAAAACUUUCACUAGGUGGAAUAUGAUGGUACCUCAAAAGUAAGCCCCGUCUAUCUCCGCGCCAGCAGCCGCGGUAAUACGUAGGGGGCAAAUGUUGUCCGGAUUUAGUGGGUGUAAAGGGUGCUCAGGCGUUUUUGUAAGUCAGAAGUGAAAUCCUAGAGCUUAACUCUGGAACUGCUUUUGAUACUGCAAGGCUUGAAUGUGGAAGAGGAGGAUGGAAUUUCUGGUGUAGCAGUGAAAUGCGUAGAUAUCAGAAAGAACACCAGCGGCGAAGGCGGUCCUCUGGUCCACCAUUGACGCUAAAGCACGAAAGCGGGGGGAGCAAACAGGAUUAGAUACCCUGGUAGUCCACGCCUUAAACGAUGAAUACUAGACGUUGGGGUUAAACUCAGUGUCGCAGCUAACGCAUAAGUAUCC
rnacentral:rRNA from 1 species